rnacentral:rRNA from 1 species
GUGCCAGCCGCUGCGGUAAUACGGAGGGGGCUAGCGUUGUUCGGAAUUACUGGGCGUAAAGCGCGCGUAGGCGGACUAUUAAGUCAGGGGUGAAAUCCCGGGGCUCAACCCCGGAACUGCCUUUGAUACUGGUAGUCUUGAGUUCGAGAGAGGUGAGUGGAAUUCCGAGUGUAGAGGUGAAAUUCGUAGAUAUUCGGAGGAACACCAGUGGCGAAGGCGGCUCACUGGCUCGAUACUGACGCUGAGGUGCGAAAGUGUGGGGAGCAAACAGGAUUAGAUACCCUGGUAGUCCACACCGUAAACGAUGAAUGCCAGUCGUCGGCAAGCAUGCUUGUCGGUGACACACCUAACGGAUUAAGCAUUCCGCCUGGGGAGUACGGUCGCAAGAUUAAAACUCAAAGGAAUUGACGGGGCCCGCACAAGCGGUGGAGCAUGUGGUUAAUUCGAAGCAACGCGCAGAACCUUACCAACCUUGACAUCCUGUGCCACUCCGAGAGAUCGGACGUUCCCUUCGGGACGCAGUGACAGGUGC